GACGAACGCUGGCGGCGUGCUUAACACAUGCAAGUCGAGCGGUAAGGCCCUUUCGGGGGUACACGAGCGGCGAACGGGUGAGUAACACGUGGGUGACCUGCCCUCAGCUCUGGGAUAAGCCUGGGAAACCGGGUCUAAUACUGGAUAUGACUCCAUGACGCAUGUUGUGGGGUGGAAAGCCUUGUGCGGCUGAGGAUGGGCCCGCGGCCUAUCAGCUUGUUGGUGGGGUGANGGGCCUACCAAGGCGACGACGGGUAGCCGGCCUGAGAGGGCGACCGGCCACACUGGGACUGAGGCACGGCCCAGACUCCUACGGGAGGCAGCAGUGGGGAAUCUUGCGCAAUGGGCGAAAGCCUGACGCAGCGACGCCGCGUGAGGGAUGACGGCCU
rnacentral:rRNA from 1 species